AGCAGAGUGGCGCAGCGGAAGCGUGCUGGGCACAUAAUCCAGAGGUCGAUGAAUCGAAACCGUCCUCUGCUA
rnacentral:tRNA from 1 species